rnacentral:rRNA from 1 species
UGGGGAAUCUUGCACAAUGGAGGCAACUCUGAUGCAGCGACGCCGCGUGAGCGAUGAAGCCUUCGGGUGUGAAGCUCUUUCGACGGGAAAGAUUAUGACGGUACCCGGAGAAGAAGCUGCGGCUAACUACGUGCCAGCAGCCGCGGUAAUACGUAGGCAGCGAGCGUUGUUCGGAAUUACUGGGCGUAAAGAGUGUGUAGGCGGUCUGAAUAGUCUGCUGUGAAAGCGCCUGGCUUAACCGGGCGAGGUCGGCGGAAACUCUCAGACUGGAGGCCGGUAGA